GGGGGCGUCAGGUUUCGACAGGAUUGUGGAACAAGGAUAAGCGAGCUGUGGAGCCGAGCCACGUAAAAAGCGGCGGUUAAAUUCAAACGCUAAAAAGAAUAACAAUUUCGCACUAGCUGCUUAGUUCAGCAACGCGCGUCAACCGGUAUUCACCUGCAGGUAACGGAGCUGGCGUCGAUUAUGCAGGAAAACCUUGCGUGAGCUCCCGGUAGCGCAAGGGAAUUGCGGGAUAGCGAUUGUGUAGUCUGCUGACAUGACGAUACAUGAGCGAAUUAUAAAGUAUCAGCUGCGCUCGGAGAAGGUCUUUCGGAAAUGCUCCUGGACGUGGGUUCAAAUCCCACCGCCUCCACCA
rfam:Mogibacterium sp. CM50 ctg120007703375, whole genome shotgun sequence.